CAUAGCGACUAUCGUGGCAUAUCAAUAAGCGGAGGAAAAGAAACUAACAAGGAUUCCCUCAGUAACGGCGAGUGAAGCGGGUAGAGCUCAAAUUUGAAAUCUUCAAGGUUCUACCUUGACGAAUUGUAGUUUAAAGAAGUGUUUUCUGUUGGAGUUUUGGUAAAAGUUCUUUGGAAUAGGACAUCAUAGAGGGUGAGAAUCCCGUAUUUGGUCAUUCCUCCUAGCGUUGUGAUACACUUUCAACGAGUCGGAUUGUUUGGGAAUGCAGUCCAAAAUGGGUGGUAAAUUUCAUCUAAAGCUAAAUAUUGGCGAGAGACCGAUAGCGAACAAGUACCGUGAGGGAAAGAUGAAAAGAACUUUGAAAAGAGAGUUAAACAGUACGUGAAAUUGUCAAAAGGGAAGCGUUUGACACCAGUGUUGUUUUUCCGAAAAUCAAUUACGAAUGUUUUGUUUUUGAGGAGUUAUGACUUCAUCGGCUUGCUUCCUUUCUUUACGAAACUUUCUUAAUGCACUUUUCGGUUAACAAGUCAACAUCAAUUUCUUUUGUUGUAAAAGGGUAUGAGGAAGGUGGCUUUCUUUUCGGAGAAAGUGUUUAUAGCCUUGUGAUCUCUGCAAUCGGAGAGACUGAGGUCUGCAGCGUAGACUCUUCGGGGUUAGAUACAGUUUGUGCUAAGCUAUAGCUUUUCAUAGACAACUUGUUGACUAUAGUUUAGUCUUGUAGCUUACUCGCUGAUGCUAUUUUACCUACGCUUAGGAUGUUGACGAGACUGUCGAUCU
rnacentral:rRNA from 1 species